rnacentral:rRNA from 1 species
AGAGUUUGAUCAUGGCUCAGGAUGAACGCUAGCGGCAGGCUUAAUACAUGCAAGUCGUGGGGCAGCAUGGUGUAGCAAUACACUGAUGGCGACCGGCAAACGGGUGCGGAACACGUACGCAACCUUCCCAAAACUGGUGAAUAGCCCUCCGAAAGGAGGAUUAAUACACCGUAACAUAAUGAAAUGGCAUCAUUUUAUUAUUAUAGCUCCGGCGAUUUUGGAUGGGCGUGCGCCUGAUUAGGUAGUUGGUAGGGUAACGGCCUACCAAGCCAACGAUCAGUAACUGGUGUGAGAGCACGACCAGUCACACGGGCACUGAGACACGGGCCCGACUCCUACGGGAGGCAGCAGUAAGGAAUAUUGGUCAAUGGACGCAAGUCUGAACCAGCCAUGCCGCGUGAAGGAUGAAGGCCCUCUGGGUUGUAAACUUCUUUUAUGGGGGACGAAAAAAGGGGAUUCUUCCUCACUUGACGGUACCCUAGGAAUAAGCACCGGCUAACUCCGUGUCAGCCGCCGCGGUAA